rnacentral:tRNA from 1 species
GGGGCUAUAGUUAACAAUAACAUUUGAGUUGCAUUCAAAAAGUACUACCAUAGUAGUUAGUCUUA